UAAAAAAAAUCCGUAAAAAUACAGUACAAUAUACCCUAAUAAUUACAGGAAAUUUUCCGUUUUUGGUUUUUACAGGUGUUUUUCCGUAUUUUUGAAUUACGAUUUGCAUUGUGGGAACAAGAACGUUGGUGGCUUACAUAGGCGCGAAAACAGUGAAGAGAAGACGCGGAGAGUUUCUCGGUCAAAGUUUAAUUUUAAUGUCGGCUUUCGAAUUUGGAAAACAUGUUUUUCAUAUACUCUUCGUGGUAAACGAGUUAAAUGUCACAUAAAUUGUUUACGUAAGGUUAACUUAGUUGCUGUCUGGCUUGUUUGGCAAAUGAACGUCGGAGCCGUCGCACUCAACAUGUCUCUGCAUAUCGUCAGACAUCUUCCUCGUGGAGUUUUCUGCCAAAUGAGGACGUGAUUGCUGCUGUACUGUGAAUCUCAAGCACACCUGCAUUCUUAUCAUGGGUGAUGGGCAGUUCAAGAUUGCUGUCGUUCAAGAAGUUAAUGACCACUGUUGAGGUUGUGAGCUACAAAUACCCAGAAGAGGCGGCACUUACAUUGGAGUUCAUACAGAAAGUUUUCCUAUGAAGAAAUCCUAAAUGAGGGUUGAGAUGAAGGAAACCAAGUAGGUGAUGGGCAGUUCAAGAUUGCUGUCGUUUGAGAAGUUAAUGAACAAAUCAUCUUUCCUGUUGCGGUUGUGAGCUACAAAAUACCCAGAGGAGGCGGCACUUACUCUGGAGUUCAUACAGAAAAUUUUCCUGUGAAGAAAUCCUAAACGUGGUUUGAGAUGAAGGCAACCAAGUGGCUGUGCGUUCCUCCAAGACUCUUGCAUGAACAAUUUAAAAAAUCCAUGUAAUAUUUGAGUUUUUAAAUUGAAAAAAAUGGCACUUGCAUUAAACAUUCAGUUAAAUGGUAAAUAAUACAUCCCCUAUAAUGAAUUGCAUCACUUCGAUGAUAUUUCUGUUAUAAUGAACUUCAAAAUUCUGUUGUCAAGCCACUGGAGUCACAUACUUUAUACCUUUCUGGACCUUGAAAAUGGUAGUUGCAUAGACAAUCAAUAGAGGGACAGAAAGUACCCAGAUUUAACUAAAAAUACUCUUAAUUUGUGUUCUAAAAAUGAAUGAAAGUCUUAUGGGUUUGGAAUGGUAUGAGUAAUUGACUGAAUUAGCAUUUUUUUGUGUGAACUAUCCCUCUAAACAAUAUUGUUUUCUCUUAUAAGAAAAAAAAGUUUUGAAUCUUGACUGUUUCUCAUUGUGACGUUUAAAUUUUGUGACCACUUUUUAGUACAACACCUGUAUUGUACAGAUGCUCAUGUUUUCUUUUUUUUUUUUUUUUUUU